GAUGAACGCUGGCGGCGUGCCUAAUACAUGCAAGUAGAACGCUGAAGGAGGAGCUUGCUCUUCUGGAUGAGUUGCGCACGGGUGAGUAACGCGUAGGUAACCUGCCUGGUAGCGGGGGAUAACUCUUGGAAACGAUAGCUAAUACCGCAUGACAUCAGUUAUUGCAUGAUAACUGUAUAAAAGGGGCAACUGCUCCACUACCAGUUGGACCUGCGUUGUUUUAGGUAGUUGGUGAGGUAACGGCUCACCAAGGCGACGAUACAUAGCCGGCCUGAGAGGGUUAUCGGCCACACUGGGACUGAGACACGGCCCAGACUCCUACGGGAGGCAGCAGGAGGGAAACUUCGGGAAAUGACGGAAGUCUGACCGGGCAACGCCGGGGGGGGGAAGAAGGUUCUCGGAUCGGAAAGCUCCGUUGUAAGGGGAGAACGAGUGUUGGAGUGGAAAGUGCACACUGUGACGGUAUCUUACCAGAAAGGGACGGCUAACUACGUG
rnacentral:rRNA from 1 species